GAUAAUGUAGCUAAAUAGGUAAAGUUUUAAUUAAAAACAAAAUUACCAGGUUCGAUUCCUGGCAUUAUCU
rnacentral:tRNA from 1 species